AUGAACGCUGGCGGCGUGCCUAAUACAUGCCAGUCGAGCGAACAGACGAGGAGCUUGCUCCUCUGACGUUAGCGGCGGACGGGUGAGUAACACGUGGAUAACCUACCUAUAAGACUGGGAUAACUUCGGGAAACCGGAGCUAAUACCGGAUAAUAUAUUGAACCGCAUGGUUCAGUAGUGAAAGACGGUUUUGCUGUCACUUAUAGAUGGAUCCGCGCCGCAUUAGCUAGUUGGUAAGGUAACGGCUUACCAAGGCGACGAUGCGUAGCCGACCUGAGAGGGUGAUCGGCCACACUGGAACUGAGACACGGUCCAGACUCCUACGGGAGGCAGCAGUAGGGAAUCUUCCGCAAUGGGCGAAAGCCUGACGGAGCAACGCCGCGUGAGUGAUGAAGGUCUUCGGAUCGUAAAACUCUGUUAUUAGGGAAGAACAAAUGUGUAAGUAACUAUGCACGUCUUGACGGUACCUAAUCAGAAAGCCACGGCUAACUACGUG
rnacentral:rRNA from 1 species